rnacentral:rRNA from 1 species
UACAGAGGUCUCAAGCGUUGUUCGGAUUCAUUGGGCGUAAAGGGUGCGUAGGUGGCGGGGUAAGUUGGAUGUGAAAUCUCGGAGCUCAACUCCGAAACUGCAUUCAAUACUGCCUUGCUAGAGUACUGGAGAGGAGAUUGGAAUUUACGGUGUAGCAGUGAAAUGCGUAGAUAUCGUAAGGAAGACCAGUGGCGAAGGCGGAUCUCUGGACAGUUACUGACACUGAGGCACGAAGGCCAGGGGAGCAAACGGG